rnacentral:rRNA from 1 species
UACGGGGGGGGCAAGCGUUGUUCGGAAUUACUGGGCGUAAAGGGCUCGUAGGCGGCCAACUAAGUCAGACGUGAAAUCCCUCGGCUCAACCGGGGAACUGCGUCUGAUACUGGAUGGCUAGAGUACGGAAGAGGCGAGUGGAAUUCCUGGUGUGGCGGUGGAAUGCGCAGAUAUCAGGAGGAACACCAAUAGCGAAGGCAGCUCGCUGGGACGUUACUGACACUGAGGCGCGAAAGCGUGGGGAGCGAACAGG